CUCUCUACAUCCACCCAUCCGCUCCCUCCCUUCUCUCCUCUGCACCCACCCAUUCACUCCCCUCCUUCUCUCUCUUCCACCUUCUUCAUCUCCACCCGUUGCAAAAAACCUAAUCCCCAAAAACAAGAUCUUGAAGUUUAGGAAGAAGAUUGCAGGAAAUGAAGGGGUAUUUCAACCUCUUCUAUCCCUCAAGAUCUCAACCUGGGAUUGGGGGCGAUCCUCGACAUCGGUUUGGGCCUCGACGACUCCAAAGAAUCGCUUCUCCUCCGUGAACGCAACGAUUUCAGUCCGACUCGUUACUUCGUCGAAGAGUCUACCACUCACUACAAUGAGACCGAUCUCCACUGCUCCUAGGUUCGGGCGGCAACGACAACGAGGAGUCUGGAGGAGAGGAACACAAGGUUGGAGGACAUGGGCUGGCGAAUUUGGAAUUUGAUGUGGGUUUGGUGGAAUUUAAGGGUUUUGACGUGGGAUUGAGCUUCUUCAACUCGAGGUUCUUGGUGGAAUUGGAAUUGUUGGUGGAUUUCAAAAUCUUGGUUUGGUUCUUGGAGGAUCACUAGUUGGGUUUGCAAAGAAUUGUUUUUUUCAUAUAUAUAAUUUUUAAUUAUUAAUACUCACGUAGGCCCAUAUUGACACAUGGCGCCUAGUCAUUAUC